rnacentral:rRNA from 1 species
AACGAACGCUGGCGGCAGGCCUAACACAUGCAAGUCGAGCGAGGACUUCGGUCCUAGCGGCGGACGGGUGAGUAACGCGUGGGAACGUGCCCUUUGCUUCGGAAUAGCCCUGGGAAACUGGGAGUAAUACCGGAUGAGCCCUUUGGGGGAAAGAUUUAUCGGCGAAGGAUCGGCCCGCGUUGGAUUAGGUAGUUGGUGGGGUAAUGGCCUACCAAGCCGACGAUCCAUAGCUGGUUUGAGAGGAUGAUCAGCCACACUGGGACUGAGACACGGCCCAGACUCCUACGGGAGGCAGCAGUGGGGAAUCUUAGACAAUGGGGGAAACCCUGAUCUAGCCAUGCCGCGUGAGCGAUGAAGGCCUUAGGGUUGUAAAGCUUUUUCAGCUGGGAAGAUAAUGACGGUACCAGCAGAAGAAGCCCCGGCUAACUCCGUG